GCCAGUAUGGUGUAGUGGUUUGAAUGUUGAAUUAGGACAUUGGGAGACCAGGGUUCGAAUCCCAGCUCGGCCA